GAGCUCACUUCAGCAGCACAUAUACUGAAACUGGAACGAGACAGAGAAGAUUAGCAUGUCCCUACACAGGGAUGACAUGCAAAUUUGUGAACCAUUCCAUGUUCGU
ensembl:snRNA U6 U6 spliceosomal RNA